rnacentral:rRNA from 1 species
CGAUAUCAAUAAGCGGAGGAAAAGAAAAUAACAAUGAUUCCCCUAGUAACUGCGAGUGAAGAGGGACAAGCUCAAAUUUUAAAUCUGUCGGGUUCUACCUGACCGAGUUGUAAUUUGAAGAGGCGUUUUCUGUGUUUCUGAUCAGUCCAAGUCCUUUGGGAUAAGGCAUCACGGAGGGUGAGAAUCCCGUUCGGUUGAUCAGAUUCGCUUUACGAUACGCUUUCAAAGAGUCAAGUUGUUUGGGAUUGCAGCUUAAAAUGGGAGGUAAAUUUCUCCUAAGGCUAAAUAACGGCGAGAGACCGAUAGCGAACAAGUACCGUGAGGGAAAGAUGAAAAGAACUUUGAAAAGAGAGUUAAACAGUACGUGAAAUUGUUGAAAGGGAAACGAUUGAAGCCAGUCGUACCUGCGGGUAAUCAGCCUUUUGGGCAUGAUUCUGGGAGUGUGAGGAGUUAAACGCCUUCAUGCCUGCAUAUUCGUGUACUUUGGGUGUACUUGCCUGUGUGGUUAGUUAACAUCAAUUUUGAUUAUCAUAAAAUGGCUGGAGGAAUGUAGCUUCGAUUUCGAUUGAAGUGUUAUAGCCUUCGGCAGAUGUGAUGAUCGGGAUUGAGGAUUGCAACGGAUACCCUUCGGGGCUACCUGUCUGAUCUCUGAUCGCUGCUCUGGUGCCGAAAGCGUGCUUACGGUUAUCAAAGUCGAUGGUCAAUAGGUUAGAAUGGGUUAAAUUCGUUAAGGAUGUUGACGUA